rnacentral:pre_miRNA from 1 species
AGGAGCAACAGCCCCAGUGGCGGGGCAGCUCUGGAAACCUGGAUUCAGCUCCGGCAGGAACUCCGUCUGCAGGGCCUGGAGGCUCUGGGGCGGG